rnacentral:rRNA from 1 species
AUUGAACGCUGGCGGCAUGCCUUACACAUGCAAAUCGAACGGUAACGGGCCUUCGGGUGCCGACGAGUGGCGAACGGGUGAGUAAUACAUCGGAACGUGCCCGAUCGUGGGGGAUAACGAGGCGAAAGCUUUGCUAAUACCGCAUACGAUCUACGGAUGAAAGCAGGGGACCGCAAGACCUUGCGCGGACGGAGCGGCCGAUGGCAGAUUAGGUAGUUGGUGGGGUAAAAGCUUACCAAGCCGACGAUCUGUAGCUGGUCUGAGAGGAUGAUCAGCCACACUGGGACUGAGACACGGCCCAGACUCCUACGGGAGGCAGCAGUGGGGAAUUUUGGACAAUGGGCGCAAGCCUGAUCCAGCCAUGCCGCGUGCAGGAUGAAGGCCUUCGGGUUGUAAACUGAUUUUGUACGGAACGAAAAGCCUUCUUUUAAUACAGGAGGGUCAUGACGGUACCGUAAGAAUAAGCACCGGCUAACUACGUG